rnacentral:misc_RNA from 1 species
UGCAUCACCUCAUUUACCUUAGCCAAA